CUGCAUGGAGACGGUUUUGUCUCCAGUUGCAAACCACACUGGCCAGACGCGUGUCCGUUCCGCAGGUCUCACUUGGUGUCUGUCCCUCCCAGGGAAUGCUAAAUGGCGUCUGGCCCCACGUCCCAGGCAGGUCUGCUGCUGCUGUUCUGAGUCUCUGCUCUGCCCCUUUCAGUUCUGCAGGCUGAGACCAAGGGCGUGUCUGCCCUUUUCUGUAGUAGAUGGCACAUUGAUGACACCCAGGCAAGUACAAGCUGUUCAACCUCCCCUUGGUAACAUCACUGGGCUUCCCUUGUCACUUUACCAUACUCUGGUAUAUUUCCAACUCUCUUAGCCACUAAGUAGCACUGUCCUCCAUCACAGGAAGUCACCUGCAAGCCCAGCCAGAGACAAGUGUGGGCAGGUUCUGGAUUCAGUAGGAUUCUGUGCUGCUGUCAAGUCCAAGGAUUCACAGUAGCACCCGUGACCACCUCAGGCACUGUCUGCAUCCUGGGGGUCGGCCCCCACCCCUGCCCCACCGGGUGUGCCGGGCUACUGCUUCCUGGCUCCGUGCACUUGCUGCCAACCCAGCUCUGAGGUGCCUAAGGAGAAGAGGCGCAUGCAGCAGCAGAAGAUUCAGAUCUGAGUUUCUGGAAGCGACGUCGAUGAGAGUGGAGCACGUCUCCUGGUGUGUCUUUACUACUCGCCAGCUGGGCACUGAGAAGGCGGGAGACUUGGGUUUUCCUAUCACAUGAUCCACUGCCUUUGGGGGCCCACCCCAGCUGGGUGCCUUCAGGAGGACUGUCCGGCCGUCAGCCUUCAGAGAACCUGCACUCUGUGCAAGAUCAGAAUUCAUCUCUGAGAAGCACUAAAUCUACGAGGCUGUUCCAAACCUUUCUCGUCUAUGUUCUCUUCACAAAUAGCUGAGUAGGUUGUUCCCGAACCUGCAUGACAGAGGCAGCAUGUUGGGUCAGUUCAGGAACUUGACUCCUCUGUCCAAGGAGAAGCUGGCUGGACCUAAUCAAUCCGGGUCCUUCUUGCUUUCUUCAGCGUCUGUACUUUGUUGUUCUA